rnacentral:rRNA from 1 species
UACGUAGGGUGCAAGCGUUAAUCGGAAUUACUGGGCGUAAAGAGUGCGUAGGUGGUUAUAUAAGACAGGCGUGAAAUCCCCGGGCUCAACCUGGGAACUGCGUUUGUGACUGUAUAGCUAGAGUACGGUAGAGGGGGGUAGAAUUCCGCGUGUAGCAGUGAAAUGCGUAGAUAUGCGGAGGAACACCGAUGGCGAAGGCAGCCCCCUGGACCUGUACUGACACUGAGGCACGAAAGCAUGGGGAGCAAACAGG